AGCUUUGUGCAGUGGCAGUAUUGUAGCCAAUGAGGUUAAUCCAAGAUGUGGUUAUUGCUAAUUGGGAAACUCAACUGCAUAGUUUGUGGUAGUGGGGAACUGCAUUUGCACCUUAUAAAUUUAUUAAGAGCAGCCCUUAGG
ensembl:snRNA U4 U4 spliceosomal RNA